AUUGAACGCUGGCGGCAUGCCUUACACAUGCAAGUCGAACGGUAACAGGUCUUCGGAUGCUGACGAGUGGCGAACGGGUGAGUAAUACAUCGGAACGUGCCCAGACGUGGGGGAUAACGAGGCGAAAGCUUUGCUAAUACCGCAUACGAUCUAAGGAUGAAAGCAGGGGACCGCAAGGCCUUGCGCGUUUGGAGCGGCCGAUGGCAGAUUAGGUAGUUGGUGGGAUAAAAGCUUACCAAGCCGACGAUCUGUAGCUGGUCUGAGAGGACGACCAGCCACACUGGGACUGAGACACGGCCCAGACUCCUACGGGAGGCAGCAGUGGGGAAUUUUGGACAAUGGGCGAAAGCCUGAUCCAGCAAUGCCGCGUGCAGGAUGAAGGCCUUCGAGUUGUAAACUGCUUUUGUACGGAACGAAAAGGCUCUGGCUAAUACCUGGGGCACAUGACGGUACCGUAAGAAUAAGCACCGGCUAACUACGUG
rnacentral:rRNA from 1 species